rnacentral:rRNA from 1 species
GACGAACCGUGCGAACGUUAUUCGGAAUCACUGGGCUUAAAGGGCGCGUAGGCGGUCUGCCAAGUCUGGGGUGAAAUCCUCCGGCUCGACCGGAGAACGGCCUCGGAUACUGGCGGUCUCGAGGGAGGUAGGGGCGUGCGGAACUAAGGGUGGAGCGGUGAAAUGCGUUGAUAUCCUUAGGAACUCCGGUGGCGAAGGCGGCACGCUGGACCUCUUCUGACGCUGAGGCGCGAAAGCCAGGGGAGCAAACGGG